rnacentral:rRNA from 1 species
AUUGAACGCUGGCGGCAGGCUUAAUACAUGCAAGUCGAACGGUAACAGCAGAAAAGCUUGCUUUUCUGGCUGACGAGUGGCGGACGGGUGAGUAAUACCUAGGAAACUGCCUAAACGAGGGGGAUAACAUUUGGAAACGAGUGCUAAUACCGCAUAAUACUGAGAAGUCAAAGGUUGGUUUACCAAUCGCGUUUAGAUGUGCCUAGGAGGGAUUAGCUAGUUGGUGGGGUAAAGGCCUACCAAGGCGAUGAUCUCUAGCUGGUCUGAGAGGAUGACCAGCCACACUGGAACUGAGACACGGUCCAGACUCCUACGGGAGGCAGCAGUGGGGAAUAUUGGGCAAUGGGCGAAAGCCUGACCCAGCGACGCCGCGUGAGGGAAGAAGGUCUUCGGAUUGUAAACCUCUUUCAGCAGGGAAGAAGCAAGUGACGGUACCUGCAGAAGAAGCCACGGCUAACUACGUG